rnacentral:rRNA from 1 species
AACACAUGCAAGUCGAACGCAACCUUCGGGUUGAGUGGCGGACGGGUGAGUAACGCGUGAGAAUCUGCCUUGGGGUCGGGGACAACCACUGGAAACGGUGGCUAAUACCGGAUAAGCCUUUGGGUAAAAGAUUUAUUGCCCCAAGAGGAGCUCGCGUCUGAUUAGCUAGUUGGUGAGGUAAAAGCUCACCAAGGCAGCGAUCAGUAGCUGGUCUGAGAGGACGAUCAGCCACACUGGGACUGAGACACGGCCCAGACUCCUACGGGAGGCAGCAGUGGGGAACUUUCCGCAAUGGGCGAAAGCCUGACGGAGCAAGACCGCGUGAGGGAGGAAGGCUCUUGGGUUGUAAACCUCUUUUCUCAGGGAAGAAGCUCUGACGGUACCUGAGGAAUCAGCCUCGGCUAACUCCGUGCCAGCAGCCGCGGUAAUACGGAGGAUGCAAGCGUUAUCCGGAUUCAUUGGGUUUAAAGGGUGCGCAGGCGGUGUACUAAGUCAGUGGUGAAAUGCUGCGGCUCAACCGUAGACUUGCCAUUGAUACUGGUACACUUGAAUGUAGUUGAGGUAGGCGGAAUGUGUAAUGUAGCGGUGAAAUGCUUAGAUAUUACACAGAACACCGAUUGCGAAGGCAGCUUACUAAACUAUGAUUGACGCUGAGGCACGAAAGCGUGGGGAGCGAACAGGAUUAGAUACCCUGGUAGUCCACGCUGUAAACUAUGAUCACUGGUUGUUGGCAAUAUACCGUCAGCGACUGAGCGAAAGCAUUAAGUGAUCCACCUGGGGAGUACGUCGGCAACGAUGAAACUCAAAGGAAUUGACGGGGGCCCGCACAAGCGGAGGAACAUGUGGUUUAAUUCGAUGAUACGCGAGGAACCUUACCUGGGCUUAAAUGUAGAGUGCAUAGAGUGGAAACAUUCUUUUCCUUCGGGACUCUUUACAAGGUGCUGCAUGGUUGUCGUCAGCUCGUGCCGUGAGGUGUCGGGUUAAGUCCCAUAACGAGCGCAACCCUUGUCGUUAGUUGCUAGCAGGUCAAGCUGAGGACUCUAACGAGACUGCCGGUGUAAACCGAGAGGAAGGUGGGGAUGACGUCAAAUCAGCACGGCCCUUAUGUCCAGGGCUACACACGUGUUACAAUGGCCAGUACAAGGAGCAGCCACCUGGCAACAGGGCGCUAAUCUCAAAAGCUGGUCACAGUUCGGAUCGGAGUCUGCAACUCGACUUCGUGAAGGUGGAUUCGCUAGUAAUCGCGCAUCAGCCACGGCGCGGUGAAUACGUUCCCGGGCAUUGUACACACCGCCCGUCAAGCCAUGGAAGCUGGGGGUACAUGAAGUCCGUAACC